ACCUGGCUGGCUCAAUCCAAAGAGCAUGUGACUCUUGAUCUCAGGGUCGUGAGUUCAAAUCCCACAUUGGGUA
rnacentral:tRNA from 1 species